AGUAUUUUAAGUUAAAUAAACUAGCGGCCUUCAAAGCCGCCAAUAAGAGUCAAUCUUAAAUUCUG
rnacentral:tRNA from 1 species